GGAACAUGAGGCUCGUUUUCAAACACAUCAAGUCCAGCUCCACCCAAACGACCUUCAAGCAGUGCAGAGACCAGCUCUGGCUCAUCAACAUGCUUACCUCGACCGAUGUUAAUUAGGAAACCCUUCGGACCAAGUGCAUUGAUGACCUCCCGGUUGAUGAUGUGAUGGGUUUCAUCUGUAAGAGAGCAGGCAACGACUAGUAUGUCGCAGUUGGAUGCUAACUCAACAACAUUUGGAUAGUACUUGUAUUUUGGUUCCUGCUUUUGAGUUCUAGAAUAGUAACAUAUUGAACAAUUAAAACCUUCAGCUCUCUUCGCAAUUGCUGUGCCAAUCCUUCCCAGCCCAAUAAUGCCAACCGUUUUACCAGAGAACUGCAAAGACACAAUUAAUUUGUCGUUGGAAAAUGGCGGGGAGGAAUACUACAUGAGAAUACAUGUAACCGAUUUUAAUGAGAAGUAUGGCACAAUUAUAUGAUUGAAGUUUUGCAAACCUUACAGCAUGAUAAAUCACUGUGUCACAUUUUAAAUGUUUUUAACCGUUUCUUGAAAGCUUACAAACUGUAAAUAUUGAAAAAUAGGUGGUUUUGUCAAUCUAAGAAAAUUGAAUUGGGAUUCAUGCUGAGAGGUGCAGAUGAUAUUCACGCUCUGAUAUGUAUGAAUUAUGUUAAUAAAGUUGUGAGUUACAUAACUAUGACAAACAGUGGAGAUAAAAGAUCUUAAAAGUGCAAUACUAUACUCCGAACCUUUAUAUUGUGGCAAAUAGUGAACAAAUGCUGUCACAAUUGUGACUGUGAUGCCGCUGUGAUUACAUCUAAAGCUUUUAUAUUGCAGCUGCAGUUGCAAACCAUAAUUUAAAACUAUGUUCCUACUUAAAACGUUUUUAGUGUAAGUUUGGAUUGAAAGUGAGAAUGGUGGAAUAACUGCAAGCUGCAACGAUUUUGGUGGUGAAAACUACAGUUCAAAGUCUCAACAAAAUCACAGUACCAUUUUGCCAAACUCAACAUCAAUCCAAAUAUACAAUUAGUUUGUUUCCACAUUGGUUUCACCACUACUACCUUUUCAUUAUAUUAAGAGUCGCGACCCGCAAUAUGACCAUAAACGCAACGAGACUUAAAACAAAAAGCCAUGGUUAUUCUCAUCAAUACUAUUAGACCACAAUUCUUCACAAUAUCAAAUCCACAAAAGAAAAGCAACAUCAGUUUAGGAACUUGGUUAUAGGAUACUUUAGCUUUUGCUUUUUGGUGUAUAUAGAAGGAGCACCAUCCCUAUAACAAACCACCAAGCAUUUUUUCUUCACUCUAAUUCUCUCAUUGAUCUUCAUCAGUCAAUAAUUAACCACACCACACUGUGAGUGCCAAAAAUCCGAUUGUAAGAUUAUUCCUUCUAUUUACUAAUGCUAAAUCAUUCUAGUUAUUGAAUGGCCUUCAAUUUGCUAAAACAUAAUUUUGUAUGCAAUUGAACUCAAUUUUCCUAUCUAGAAACGUUAGAUCAUGCAAGUUAGAUAACCAUGAUGAAAUGAACAAUGAAGAUAAAACUUUUUUAAGUCUUGUAAUGUCAUUCCAGAGACCUCAAACUUUAUGACUAUGCUCCUAUACCUUAAACAUUUUUAGAGCAUGUUUGUAUUGGCGGUAAGAUUGGUUAAAUCACGAUGAACUACCUCGAUUUUGACAAAAGCUACAAUGACUUGUGAGUUUCUACAAAAUCACGGUACAACUGUUACCUUGUUAAACUCACCGCCAAUCCCAACAUACAAUCAGCAUGUGUGUUUUUACAUUGGUUUCACCACUACUGUUUUGGCAAAAGCUACAAUGGCUUUGGGGUUUCAACAAAAUCACGGUGCCACCAUAACUUUGUCAAACUAGUAGUUUUUCAUAAUACUAUCAAGAAUCGCGUUACAGCCAUGAUCAUGACACGACUACGACCAUGAUCGUGACAAGGCUUAAAACAAAAAACCAAUAUGAUUAGAAAGUUGGGUAUUAUGGUUUUACCUUAGUGGUCAACUUAUAGUCACCAUGCUUCCAGUCUCCACUUCUAACAAAUCGAUCACAUUCACAAAUCCUCCUAAGAAGUGUAAGCAUCAAACCAAUAGCUAAAUCAGCAACAUCAUCAGUCAACACAUCAGGUGUAUUCGUCACACAAAUCCCUUUCUCCUUACACUUGUUAAGAUCAAUCUUGUCAACACCAACGCUGAAGCUCGAAACAAUCUCUAGAUUUGGCAGUGCAUCAAUGAGCUCAGAAUCGGCGCCGCAGGAUCCGUUUCCCACCACCGCACGGAUCAACGCGCCAUGUUGAGUUAAGAAUUGAGAUUUUUGCGGGUAAUCACAUAUGCGGAAAAGGUUGUAGCGUUUGCUGAGUUCUUGUUCUAAGUAAGGGAGUACUUGAGCUACGAGGAGAACAUCUAUGGAUUCCAUUAGGGUUAGUGUUUUGAAAAAUGGAGUUGCAUAUGGUUGGAUUUGGUGCGUUAACUGGUGGAAUAAGCACACGAAGACGAUGCUGAUUCAUAUAGUAACAUUAAUUUAUAAAAACAAAAGUUCUUUUAUAAUAACAACAAUAUUCUAUCAAAAGAAACCAUAAGUUGUUUUUAACUCUGUCAUGUUUUAUUAUUUUUGUUUACAUGAGAAAAGUCAAACCAAAAAGAAAAACUAAACGACACACAUGAUAUCAGCUAAGAGGGGCAUCCUGCACCUAACUGAUUAAUUAAAUGUUCAAUUUUGUUAAUGAAUCAUGUUGCUAGGGAACGAACAAAUGAAUGAAGGUGGUAUUCUUAUUUUAUUCUAUCACAAAGUAAUGUUUAUUUUAUCAGAAGGAAAAGAAAAGACAACAGAAGAAACACUAUUUGUGGAGGAUGAGAAUUUUAUAUCUUCAAAGUAUCAGUAUUACAAUAUUAGCAGCCCCAAAUUUAACUAAUCAAUCUGCACAUAUUGAUGUUGAAUAAAGCUAUAUUGAUUCCAAAACACAGAGUAUAUGACAAAAUUCUAAUAUGUAUAUAAAAAAAAGGAUCAGAAUUCACUACACUUAAAUACUGGUGCAAUCACCGCAGAUAAAAUAACUGUUUCAGAAUUUUUAUAUUUAUAUCUGACAAACCUGCUCCAUACGUACCAUAUUAUUUGUUAGUUGAUCAAUAAAUUUGAAGCCAACUUAAUAACGUAGUUAUUUGAACAUGUCAUUUCUUGGCUAAAGUUCAACCAAAUCAUGAUUGAUAUUCAGAUUAAGAUGUCACACGAUUAAGAUGAAAUGAUUUAUUCUUUACAACAAUUGUUGAAGCACCAAUAUAGAUAUCUGAAGCUCUCACAAUCAAUCAAUUCCAUAUCACAAGAAUCCUUAAUUGAUGAUGUAACAUCAAAUUUUCUGGGUCAAUGGCCAAUCAAUCAUAUGUCCAUAGUUCAAUAGAGUCAUGAAGCUUAAACCAAGGGAGUUAACAGUGGCUUUCCAAGGAAAUGAGCCUCUAGGUUUCCAAGCACAAGGUCAGCCAUGGCAGUUCGAGUUUCAACCGUGGCGCUUCCAACAUGAGGCAACAGUACAACAUUUUCAAGCCCAAAUAGCUCCUCAGGAACAUGAGGCUCGUUUUCAAACACAUCAAGUCCAGCUCCACCCAAACGACCUUCAAGCAGUGCAGAGACCAGCUCUGGCUCAUCAACAUGCUUACCUCGACCGAUGUUAAUUAGGAAACCCUUUGGACCGAGUGCGUUAAUGACCUCCCGGUUGAUGAUGUGAUGGGUUUCCUCUGUAAGGGGGCAGGCAACAACUAGUAUAUCACAGUUGGAUGCAAGCUCAACAACACUUGGAUAGUACUUGUAUUUUGACUCCUGCUUUUGAGUUCUCGAAUAGUAGGAUAUUGGACAGUUAAAGCCUUCAGCUCUCUUGGCAAUGGCUGCGCCAAUCCUUCCCAGCCCAAUAAUGCCGACAGUUUUCCCAGAGAACUGCAGGGAAAAUACCAGACAAAAGAAAAUUAAUUUCUUGUUGGAAAAUGGAUGGGGGGAAUACUGCAUGGGAAUACAUAUAACCUCCCUUUUUUGUGGUACAAACAUAUAACCAAUUUUAAUGAGUAUGACAAUUAUAUGAUUGAAGUUCUACAACCCUUAAAACAUGAUGAUGGAUCAUCGUGUCCAAUUUUAAAUGUUUUUCACUGUUUUCUGAAAGCUUACAAAUUGUAAUUAUGGAAAAAAAUAAGUGGUUUGUCAAACUCGAGAGCCUGUGCAAACAAGUAGAACUUCUGCAGAUUCAUAAAAAUAUGUCCAAUAAGAUCAUUGUGUCGUAAGGAAAAACAAGUCAAACUUCUGCAGACUCGAUAAAAAUAUCAUUUUUUAAGUGAAAACAAAUGUCAUAAGCAAAAACAUUUAGAAACCAAGUCGUCCAACUCGGCCAGUUUCUGGGAUGUACC
rnacentral:lncRNA from 1 species